GCAGUGACUGCAGGACACAACUAGCUGCUCUUUUGCAGGCGGUGUACUUGUGGUGAAUCUGGGUGCAUACUUGUUUUUUUGUUUUACAGGCAGUGCACCAACUUCUAACGUGCAGUCCAACGUGACGGGGACCCUGCCUGUAAGAGGUCACGGUCAAGGGGUGUCAGAUAGAAGCUGCCAUGGGAGCAGCAAACUCUUGGGCAGUAUCUCAGUACUCACAUUUGCCUCUGGGUUUUUUUUGCAGGAGAUGUACACAGCCUGACAGGGCCAAAGCCAACUCACAGUGAGGUGCCAUCCUUGUAACCUUUGGGAGCAGAUGAACAUUGGAGGUAUCCCAGAAGAUGAGACAUUGUCCAAGUCUGGUCAGAGCCAGUGACACGAGGACCUGCCU